AAAUUGAAGAGUUUGAUCAUGGCUCAGAUUGAACGCUGGCGGCAGGCCUAACACAUGCAAGUCGAGCGGUAGCACAGAGAGCUUGCUCUCGGGUGACGAGCGGCGGACGGGUGAGUAAUGUCUGGGAAACUGCCUGAUGGAGGGGGAUAACUACUGGAAACGGUAGCUAAUACCGCAUAACGUCGCAAGACCAAAGUGGGGGACCUUCGGGCCUCAUGCCAUCAGAUGUGCCCAGAUGGGAUUAGCUAGUAGGUGGGGUAAUGGCUCACCUAGGCGACGAUCCCUAGCUGGUCUGAGAGGAUGACCAGCCACACUGGAACUGAGACACGGUCCAGACUCCUACGGGAGGCAGCAGUGGGGAAUAUUGCACAAUGGGCGCAAGCCUGAUGCAGCCAUGCCGCGUGUAUGAAGAAGGCCUUCGGGUUGUAAAGUACUUUCAGCGAGGAGGAAGGCAU
rnacentral:rRNA from 2 species